AUGUGAUUACAUCAUGACAUCAUGAAGGAGGCUACUGAUUCUGGCCCUGUGACACUUGGUGGUGACGUGUGAGCUGAUUCACCUGGACACUCAGCAAAAUAUGGACUCUACACCAUGAGGAAGGCACACGUUAAUAACUCUAUAAGAGCACAUAAGCAUGAGGAUGUCCUCACACACCUGUCAUCUGGUUAUGACAGCAUGAGGAUGUCUUCACACACCUGUAACCUAUCAGCUCAUCUGGCAGAAUAGAGAGAGAAGAGACAACACCACAUCUCCUGUUCCUGGAAAGCCUUCAGCCAUCCUUCGAUGACUGAGAACCUCCAUCAGCUCUGUCUCC